AUUGAACGCUGGCGGCAUGCCUUACACAUGCAAGUCGAACGGUAACAGGUCUUCGGAUGCUGACGAGUGGCGAACGGGUGAGUAAUACAUCGGAACGUGCCUAGUAGUGGGGGAUACUACUCGAAAGAGUGGCUAAUACCGCAUGAGAUCUACGGAUGAAAGCAGGGGAUCGGCAGAACCUGUGCUACCAGAGCGGCCGAUGGCAGAUUAGGUAGUUGGUGGGAUAAAAGCUUACCAAGCCGACGAUCUGUAGCUGGUCUGAGAGGACGAUCAGCCACACUGGGACUGAGACACGGCCCAGACUCCUACGGGAGGCAGCAGUGGGGAAUUUUGGACAAUGGGCGAAAGCCUGAUCCAGCAAUGCCGCGUGCAGGAUGAAGGCCUUCGGGUUGUAAACUGCUUUUGUACGGAACGAAAAGCCCCGGGUUAAUACCCUGGGGUCAUGACGGUACCGUAAGAAUAAGCACCGGCUAAUUACGUGCAGCAGCCGCCGUAA
rnacentral:rRNA from 1 species